rnacentral:rRNA from 1 species
UACGUAGGGUGCAAGCGUUGUCCGGAAUUACUGGGCGUAAAGCGCGCGUAGGCGGCUUUGCAAGUCGGGUGUGAAAUCCCCAAGCUUAACUUGGGAACUGCAUUCGAGACUGCAUUGCUAGAGUAUGGGAGAGGGAAGUGGAAUUUCCGGUGUAGCGGUGAAAUGCGUAGAUAUCGGAAGGAACAUCAGUGGCGAAAGCGACUUCCUGGACCAAUACUGACGCUCAUGUGCGAAAGCGUGGGGAGC